rnacentral:rRNA from 1 species
GACGAACGCUGGCGGCGUGCCUAACACAUGCAAGUCGAACGGAACUUCUUUAAAGGAUUUCUUCGGAAUGAAUUUGAUUAAGUUUAGUGGCGGACGGGUGAGUAACGCGUGAGUAACCUGCCUCUGAGAGGGGAAUAACAUUCUGAAAAGAAUGCUAAUACCGCAUAACAUAUAUUUAUCGCAUGGUAGAUAUAUCAAAGAUUUAUCGCUUAGAGAUGGACUCGCGUCCGAUUAGUUAGUUGGUGAGGUAACGGCUCACCAAGACUGCGAUCGGUAGCCGGACUGAGAGGUUGAACGGCCACAUUGGGACUGAGACACGGCCCAGACUCCUACGGGAGGCAGCAGUGGGGGAUAUUGCGCAAUGGGGGAAACCCUGACGCAGCAACGCCGCGUGAAGGAUGAAGGUCUUCGGAUUGUAAACUUCUUUUAUUAAGGACGAAGAAAGUGACGGUACUUAAUGAAUAAGCUCCGGCUAACUACGUG